GACGAACGCUGGCGGCGUGCCUAAUACAUGCAAGUAGAACGCACAGUUUAUACCGUAGCUUGCUACACCAUAGACUGUGAGUUGCGAACGGGUGAGUAACGCGUAGGUAACCUGCCUGGUAGCGGGGGAUAACUAUUGGAAACGAUAGCUAAUACCGCAUAAUAUUGAUUAUUGCAUGAUAAUUGAUUGAAAGAUGCUAUUGCAUCACUACCAGAUGGACCUGCGUUGUUUUAGCUAGUAGGUGAGGUAACGGCUCACCUAGGCGACGAUACAUAGCCGACCUGAGAGGGUGAUCGGCCACACUGGGACUGAGACACGGCCCAGACUCCUACGGGAGGCAGCAGUAGGGAAUCUUCGGCAAUGGACGAAAGUCUGACCGAGCAACGCCGCGUGAGUGAAGAAGGUUUUCGGAUCGUAAAGCUCUGUUGUAAGAGAAGAACGGGUGUGAGAGUGGAAAGUUCACACUGUGACGGUAGCUUACCAGAAAGGGACGGCUAACUACGUG
rnacentral:rRNA from 1 species